rnacentral:rRNA from 1 species
UACGGAGGGUGCAAGCGUUAUCCGGAUUCACUGGGUUUAAAGGGUGCGUAGGUGGGCAGUUAAGUCAGUGGUGAAAUCUCCGGGCUCAACCCUGGACAGGCGGUGGAAACUACCAAGCUGGAGUACGGUAGGGGCAGAGGGAAUUUCCGGUGGAGCGGUGAAAUGCGUAGAGAUCGGAAAGAACACCAACGGCGAAAGCAACUCUGCUGGGCCGACACUGACACUGAGAGACGAAAGCUAGGGGAGCGAAUGGG